UACUGUAAUUUUUCUUCACUUUUCAAAGAAAAGCCACUGUAAUUUCAGUUGAAACUUUAAGACAACCAACAUGGGUUUGGCAGUCCAGCCAGUCAUCAGUCUCAGCGUUUGAAAGAGGGAGGCUCUUCUUGGCAGCAAAGCGGGUCUUAUAAAAAUAUCACAGUAUAUAUGCAAGUAUCAGUCACUUUGUAAUGACUGUUUAUAUAUGGGUUGUUAAUGAAGUUAGCUCACAACAGAUUUCAUUCCUUAAAAGAGAGAAGAAAAAUAGAAAACUUAAAGGAGACUCUUCAUCACAGCUGCAUUUUAAACAGCUGAGAACCAAAAAUGAAUGUGCUCCUUCUCCUCGAACUCACUAACAAAGCGUCACGAGCUUCAGUGGAACUGCACAGGUGUACAGCAAUAAGGAUAUGAUGUUAGAUGGCCACACAGACAAGCUCUGUCAUUGCAUAUCUGGAUGGCACAGAGAAGUCCUCCCCUAAAAGCAGAAUGCAGAGUGCUCCUGUUGCUUGAAGACUUGCUUGUGCCCAGCGGCAGGAACAGAACAGAAUCUCCUGAGGAAGAAGCUUUUCAGCCCAUUGUGCCACCUGUAGCCUCAGAGGAGAGGUGUGCAAUGCUAUGUUUGGAAGCUGUACGACACCAAAAAUGUAACAGAAGAUUGCACCUUGCUUGGAGACUGUAUUUAUUAUGACCAUGUAAUAUAAUGGAAAUACGUAAUGGAAAUCCAGGUCAAAAGUUAAGAGUGAAGUUGUGUUAUAAGAAGAGCAAGAGUGAGAGUAAAGAGAGUAACUUCAUAUUAAAAAAAUAAUUCUAAAUUCUUGGGAAAAUCAUGAACAAUUUCCUGAGUAUCGAGCACACGGUUUCCUGACAUAUGUAAAGCUGCAAAUUUCUCCUAUCAUUCCACGACUGAGGUAAG